CCUACGGGCAGCAGCAGUGAGGAAUAUUGGUCAAUGGACGAGAGUCUGAACCAGCCAAGUAGCGUGAAGGAUGACUGCCCUAUGGGUUGUAAACUUCUUUUAUCUGGGAAUAAAAUGUUCCACGUGUGGGAUUUUGUAUGUACCAUAUGAAUAAGGAUCGGCUAACUCCGUGCCAGCAGCCGCGGUAAUACGGAGGAUCCGAGCGUUAUCCGGAUUUAUUGGGUUUAAAGGGAGCGUAGGUGGAUUGUUAAGUCAGUUGUGAAAGUUUGCGGCUCAACCGUAAAAUUGCAGUUGAAACUGGCAGUCUUGAGUACAGUAGAGGUGGGCGGAAUUCGUGGUGUAGCGGUGAAAUGCUUAGAUAUCACGAAGAACUCCGAUUGCGAAGGCAGUUCACUGGACUGCAACUGACACUGAGGCUCGAAAGUGUGGGUAUCAAACAGGAUUAGAUACCCGUGUAGUC
rnacentral:rRNA from 1 species